UACAGAGGUCUCAAGCGUUGUUCGGAUUCAUUGGGCGUAAAGGGUGCGUAGGCGGCGCGGUAAGUCGGGUGUGAAAUUUCGAGGCUUAACUCGAAACUGCAUUCGAUACUGCCGUGCUUGAGGACUGGAGAGGAGACUGGAAUUUACGGUGUAGCGGUGAAAUGCGUAGAUAUCGUAAGGAAGACCAGUGGCGAAGGCGGGUCUCUGGACAGUUCCUGACGCUGAGGCACGGAAGGUCAGGGGAGCAAAACGGG
rnacentral:rRNA from 1 species